rnacentral:misc_RNA from 1 species
UGGCUCUCGCAUCGAUGAAGAACGCAGCGAAAUGCGAUAAGUAAUGUGAAUUGCAGAAUUCAGUGAAUCAUCGAAUCUUUGAACGCACCUUGCGCUCCUUGGUAUUCCGAGGAGCAUGCCUGUUUGAGUGUCAUGAAAUCUUCAACUUGCAAGUUCUUUGUUUGGGCUUGUAGGCUUGGACUUGGAGGCUUUGUCGGCUGUUUCCUAUCAGUCGGCUCCUCUUAAAUGCAUUAGCUUGAUUCCUUGCGGAUCGGCUGUCGGUGUGAUAAUGUCUACGCCGCGACCGUGAAGCGUUUUGGCAAGCUUCUAACCGUCUCGUUUUGAGACAAACUUUAUGACUCUGACCUCAAAUCAGGUAGGACUACCCGCUGA